AGCGAACGCUGGCGGCAGGCUUAACACAUGCAAGUCGAACGGGCGUAGCAAUACGUCAGUGGCAGACGGGUGAGUAACGCGUGGGAACGUACCUUUUGGUUCGGAACAACACAGGGAAACUUGUGCUAAUACCGGAUAAGCCCUUACGGGGAAAGAUUUAUCGCCGAAAGAUCGGCCCGCGUCUGAUUAGCUAGUUGGUGAGGUAACGGCUCACCAAGGCGACGAUCAGUAGCUGGUCUGAGAGGAUGAUCAGCCACAUUGGGACUGAGACACGGCCCAAACUCCUACGGGAGGCAGCAGUGGGGAAUAUUGGACAAUGGGCGCAAGCCUGAUCCAGCCAUGCCGCGUGAGUGAUGAAGGCCCUAGGGUUGUAAAGCUCUUUUGUGCGGGAAGAUAAUGACGGUACCGCAAGAAUAAGCCCCGGCUAACUUCGUGCCAGCAGCCGCGGUAAU
rnacentral:rRNA from 1 species